UAGGGAAUCUUCGGCAAUGGGGGCAACCCUGACCGAGCAACGCCGCGUGAGUGAAGAAGGUUUUCGGAUCGUAAAGCUCUGUUGUAAGAGAAGAACGUGUGUGAGAGUGGAAAGUUCACACAGUGACGGUAACUUACCAGAAAGGGACGGCUAACUACGUGCCAGCGG
rnacentral:rRNA from 1 species